GAGGAAUAUUGGUCAAUGGACGCAAGUCUGACCCACCCCCGUCGGUUGAAGGAAGAGGGCCCUACGGGUUGUAAAUUUCUUUUAUACGGGAAUAAAGUGCCCAACCCGUGGGUUUUUCCAAGACCCGUCCGAUUAAGGACGGGCUACCUCGUGGCCAGCAGCCGCGGUAAUACGGAGGUCCGAGCGUUAUCCGGAUUUAUUGGGUUUAAAGGGUGCUCAGGCGGGGGAUUAAGUCGGCGGUGAAAUUUUGCAGCUCAACUGUAAAAGUGCCUUCGAAACUGGUUUCCUUGAGUGCGGAUGAGGUAGGCGGAAUUUGUGGUGUAGCGGUGAAAUGCAUAGAUAUCACGAGGAACUCCGAUUGCGCAGGCAGCUUACCAAGCCGUAACUGACGCUCAAGCACGAAGGCAUGGGGAUCAAACA
rnacentral:rRNA from 1 species